GGUUUUAUAUUCAAGAUGAUUUUAAAUUGCAAGUUUAAAGGUAAAGAACUCGUUCUUUUAAAGCCU
rnacentral:tRNA from 1 species